AUGCUGGAGGUAUCAGAAGUGCGAAUGCUGACAUAAGUAACGAUAAAGCGGGUGAAAAGCCCGCUCGCCGGAAGACCAAGGGUUCCUGUCCAACGUUAAUCGGGGCAGGGUGAGUCGACCCCUAAGGCGAGGCCGAAAGGCGUAGUCGAUGGGAAACAGGUUAAUAUUCCUGUACUUGGUGUUACUGCGAAGGGGGGACGGAGAAGGCUAUGUUGGCCGGGCGACGGUUGUCCCGGUUUAAGCGUGUAGGCUGGUUUUCCAGGCAAAUCCGGAAAAUCAAGGCUGAGGCGUGAUGACGAGGCACUACGGUGCUGAAGCAACAAAUGCCCUGCUUCCAGGAAAAGCCUCUAAGCAUCAGGUAACAUCAAAUCGUACCCCAAACCGACACAGGUGGUCAGGUAGAGAAUACCAAGGCGCUUGAGAGAACUCGGGUGAAGGAACUAGGCAAAAUGGUGCCGUAACUUCGGGAGAAGGCACGCUGAUAUGUAGGUGAAGCCCCUCGCGGAUGGAGCUGAAAUCAGUCGAAGAUACCAGCUGGCUGCAACUGUUUAUUAAAAACACAGCACUGUGCAAACACGAAAGUGGACGUAUACGGUGUGACGCCUGCCCGGUGCCGGAAGGUUAAUUGAUGGGGUCAGCGCAAGCGAAGCUCUUGAUCGAAGCCCCGGUAAACGGCGGCCGUAACUAUAACGGUCCUAAGGUAGCGAAAUUCCUUGUCGGGUAAGUUCCGACCUGCACGAAUGGCGUAAUGAUGGCCAGGCUGUCUCCACCCGAGACUCAGUGAAAUUGAACUCGCUGUGAAGAUGCAGUGUACCCGCGGCAAGACGGAAAGACCCCGUGAACCUUUACUAUAGCUUGACACUGAACAUUGAGCCUUGAUGUGUAGGAUAGGUGGGAGGCUUUGAAGUGUGGACGCCAGUCUGCAUGGAGCCGACCUUGAAAUACCACCCUUUAAUGUUUGAUGUUCUAACGUGGACCCGUAAUCCGGGUUGCGGACAGUGUCUGGUGGGUAGUUUGACUGGGGCGGUCUCCUCCUAAAGAGUAACGGAGGAGCACGAAGGUUGGCUAAUCCUGGUCGGACAUCAGGAGGUUAGUGCAAUGGCAUAAGCCAGCUUGACUGCGAGCGUGACGGCGCGAGCAGGUGCGAAAGCAGGUCAUAGUGAUCCGGUGGUUCUGAAUGGAAGGGCCAUCGCUCAACGGAUAAAAGGUACUCCGGGGAUAACAGGCUGAUACCGCCCAAGAGUUCAUAUCGACGGCGGUGUUUGGCACCUCGAUGUCGGCUCAUCACAUCCUGGGGCUGAAGUAGGUCCCAAGGGUAUGGCUGUUCGCCAUUUAAAGUGGUACGCGAGCUGGGUUUAGAACGUCGUGAGACAGUUCGGUCCCUAUCUGCCGUGGGCGCUGGAGAACUGAGGGGGGCUGCUCCUAGUACGAGAGGACCGGAGUGGACGCAUCACUGGUGUUCGGGUUGUCAUGCCAAUGGCACUGCCCGGUAGCUAAAUGCGGAAGAGAUAAGUGCUGAAAGCAUCUAAGCACGAAACUUGCCCCGAGAUGAGUUCUCCCUGACUCCUUGAGAGUCCUGAAGGAACGUUGAAGACGACGACGUUGAUAGGCCGGGUGUGUAAGCGCAGCGAUGCGUUGAGCUAACCGGUACUAAUGAACCGUGAGGCUUAACCUU
rnacentral:rRNA from 1 species